rnacentral:lncRNA from 14 species
CUUUCAUGUUGAGGGAACCUUGGUGAAGGGGUGAAGUCAGGCAUUGACUAAGCCUGUGAAUCCCCUUCCAUGCAUGGAUUCUGGAUUUGAGUGUCUCGAAUCUAAGAAUUGCCUACAGAGAUGGAUCAGUUCCUGUUUAGUGAAGGGACAAGAAUCAAGAUGCUGCAGGAGAGAUCAACAAGAAUUUUCCAGUCUUCCCCGAGGACCAGGGGUUUUUCCAGAAGGUGGCAGUCCAUUGUAUGGCUC